rnacentral:lncRNA from 1 species
UGGUCUCCAGCACACCUUUCUUGGUAGAGUUGAGAAUUCAACCAGCCAAUUCUUCCUGGAGAUUCUCAGAGCCACAUUGCGAGAGCAGGAGACUAACAAGUGCUGCCCUAUCCAUGGUGACUCCCCUUGGCCUCUAGGCUUGUCUGAGCAGAGGUAGGGUGACCCUGCCGCCUGUUCCUCAACAGUCUGUGCAAAUUCAAAGAACUAGAGUGUGAAUUCAAGGAACUCAUUUGAAGAACAGGAAAAGCAACUCUCUCCUUGAGGUAUGGGGAAAUGAAGGUUGAAACAUGGAUCAGAAGACUUGCUGAGGUCUCUUCCACCCUCAACUCUUCCGUUCUGUUCCCAAUGAGGCCCAAAACGCAGCUUUCUCCAUCGCUCUUUAAUCUGUUGGUUGAUUUGUCUGGUGCACCCAACCAGCACCGUGGCCCUGAAAAUAAAAUAUUAAUUACAUCAA